rnacentral:rRNA from 1 species
AUGCCUGCAUUAUUUAUCUUCAAUCUAGUUCAACUUUUGCUCUUGUAUUUAGCUUGCUUGUGCUCAUGUGCAUGUCUCUUGAGUUCCAUUGAACAAACACGCUCUGAGCAGGAAAAAGUGAAGCAUUUUGGGGCAUCUUGGUUUCUUAUCAGUGAUAGCCUACGUACCAUAUACCAGGAAAGUUGCAGGCAUCCUAAGCAGGCAAAACUUUUACUCCCAUGGUUUAUUCAUUUCAAAAUACCUAUGGUUCUGUGGAAUCAAUUCUUGAUUUGGAAACCAGAGAGUAUGUGCAUUGCUGCAAUCAUGGAGCUGUGCAUUGUGAAAUUGUACACGUGA